UGGGGAAUAUUGCGCAAUGGGCGAAAGCCUGACGCAGCGACGCCGCGUGAGGGAUGAAGGUUUUCGGAUCGUAAACCUCUGUCAGAAGGGAAGAAGUUAUGCCGCUCUAAUCAGCGGCAUAUUGACGGUACCUUCAAAGGAAGCACCGGCUAACUCCGUGCCAGCAGCCGCGGUAAUACGGAGGGUGCGAGCGUUAAUCGGAAUUACUGGGCGUAAAGCGCUCGUAGGUAGUAUAUCAAGUCAAGGGUGAAAUCCCCGCGCUCAACGUGGGAACUGCCUUUGAAACUGGUAGACUUGAGUGUGUGAGAGGAUAGUGGAAUUCCAGGUGUAGGAGUGAAAUCCGUAGAUAUCUGGAGGAACAUCAGUGGCGAAGGCGACUAUCUGGCACAUAACUGACACUGAGGAGCGAAGCGUGGGUAGCAAACAGGAUAGAUACC
rnacentral:rRNA from 1 species